rnacentral:rRNA from 1 species
AGGACGAACGCUGGCGGCGUGCUUAACACAUGCAAGUCGAGCGGAAAGGCCCUUCGGGGUACUCGAGCGGCGAACGGGUGAGUAACACGUGAGCAACCUGCCCUUAGCUUUGGGAUAACCCUCGGAAACGGGGGCUAAUACCGAAUAUUCACUGCCGGGCGCAUGUUUGGCGGUGUAAAGUUUUUCGGCUAGGGAUGGGCUCGCGGCCUAUCAGCUUGUUGGUGGGGUAAUGGCCUACCAAGGCGACGACGGGUAG